GGUGGCUCAGUGAUGGAGUGCUUGCCUUGCAUGCAUGAGGACCUGGGUUCAAUUCCUCAGCACCA
rnacentral:tRNA from 1 species